rnacentral:sRNA from 1 species
GUGCCCGACUUGCCCACCUGCGCCCUGCCCAGACCUUGGUCUGUCCCACCCUUGCGGCGUGGCAACCGCAAGCAGGAGCUGGCCGUGGCGCUCAUCGCGGGCUGGGGCCCUGGGGAUGGGAGGCGUGUCCCCCCGCUACUCAUCUAUGGCCCCUUUGGCACCGGCAAGACCUACACGCUGGCCAUGGCCUCCCUGGAGGUCAUCCGGAGGCCUGAAACCAAGGUGCUCAUCUGCACACACACCAACAGCGCUGCCGACAUCUACAUCCGGGAGUAUUUCCACAGCCACGUCAGCGGCGGCCACCCCGAGGCCACUCCACUCCGUGUGAUGUACACGGACCGGCCGCUGAGCCAGACGGACCCGGUCACGCUGCAGUACUGUUGCCUGACCGACGACCGCCAGGCUUUCCGCCCGCCCACACGGGCAGAGCUGGCG